GUUGAAGACGACGACGUUGAUAGGCCGGGUGUGUAAGCGCAGCGAUGCGUUGAGCUAACCGGUACUAAUGAACCGUGAGGCUUAACCUUACAACGCCGAAG
rnacentral:rRNA from 13 species